AAUGAGAUGGCUGAGUAAGGUGAUAAAUUGUAAAUUUAUUAAUGAAAAUUAAUUUUUUUCUCUCAUUA
rnacentral:tRNA from 1 species